GACGAACGCUGGCGGCGUGCCUAAUACAUGCAAGUAGAACGCUGAAGGAGGAGCUUACUUCUCUGGAUGAGUUGCGAACGGGUGAGUAACGCGUAGGUAACCUGCCUGGUAGCGGGGGAUAACUAUUGGAAACGAUAGCUAAUACCGCAUAAGAGUAGAUGUUGCAUGACAUUUACUUAAAAGGUGCAAUUGCACCACUACCAGAUGGACCUGCGUUGUAUUAGCUAGUUGGUGGGGUAACGGCUUACCAAGGCGACGAUACAUAGCCGACCUGAGAGGGUGAUCGGCCACACUGGGACCGAGACACGGCCCAGACUCCUACGGGAGGCAGCAGUAGGGGAUCUGCGGCAAUGGACGGAAGUCUGACCGAGCAACGCCGCGUGAGUGAAGAAGGUUUUCGGAUCGUAAAGCUCUGUUGUAAGAGAAGAACGAGUGUGAGAGUGGAAAGUUCACACUGUGACGGUAUCUUACCAGAAAGGGACGGCUAACUACGUGCCAGCAGCCGCCGUAA
rnacentral:rRNA from 1 species